rnacentral:rRNA from 1 species
UGCGUAGGCGGAUUAAUAAGUCAGUGGUGAAAACCUGCAGCUUAACUGUAGACUUGCCAUUGAUACUGUUAGUCUUGAGUACGGUCAAGGUAGGCGGAAUGCGUAAUGUAGCGGUGAAAUGCUUAGAUAUUACACAGAACACCGAUUGCGAAGGCAGCUUACUGGGCCAUUACUGACGCUGAGGCACGAAAGCGUGGGGAGCGAACAGGAUUAGAUACCCUGGUAGUCC